AGCUACAGAGCUACAGAAGGUAGAGGUGGAGAGAGAGAGAGACAGAGAGAUGGGGUGAGGGGAAACCUGAAGCCUUGCCAUUGCAAGCCUCACCUUGCUGGGACUGCUACCACUGCUGUCUCCUAUCUGAAGCAGGCUCCUGUGACUCCCAGGUGAGUUGCCCCCACCUCCUAAAUUGCCUUGCAUUUCUACUGAGGGAGGAGGCACUGAGUGGCCCAGGAACCCCCAGGCUAACAUGGAGGUUCUGGGGGUGGACAGACACCAAGAUAGGCUGCACUGCCUCUCUACUGGCUCUUUCUGUCCCAUCACUCAGUGACAGAGACUGUAGACUCCCUAUGCUUGUCCACUUAUACUUGGCAGGUCCCAACUGCUGCUCCCACCACUGGCUCGCUGGAAGUGCCUACCCUGCUCCAAAGCCUUUCUGUCCCUCUGCCUUGGUAAGGCCAUCCCAUAAUGUCUCCUGCAGUCAUCUCCACCCCAACAGGCAGUGCCUCUGCUACCUUGCUGCUCAAGCUGCCAUGGACCACACCGAAGCUAUGGACACCACCCCUCCUUCCAAGAUGGUCAUCUUCCAUUCUCUGGCUGCCUCUGUGGGGAGCUGCCUCCCGUUGUCCAUGGUGCUUCCUGGUGCUGGGCACACACCACACAGUGUCAGUUCCAAUUACCCCUUGAAUCCAGGAGCUUCUACUCUUCCCACAAGUUGGGUACCUGAUGUGCACCAUUGUGAGAGCACUUUGGUUUUGUAGAGGCCAAUGCCCCAACACAAGCAAUUGGCCUAACUUCCUUUCCCACCAAGUCCCAGCCUUAGGCUGUCAGGUAUAUGCAUUUGACACAGCCAUCAUGUUACCCUGAAGGAAGCCAGACUGGCUUACCAGUUGAUCGCUAGCUUUGGAGUCAUUGCCAAGUCCUUGCAUACUGCUUAGCUGGCACUAGGCACUGUACCUCAUUGUUUGCCAGUCUGCUUUGGAGCCCAUAGAGUGUCUGUGGGACCAGCACCCACUCUGGGUGUCGGGAUCAUUGGGUUUUUUGUGUCCCCUCCAGGACCCGUUUCUGAUUCCAAAGUUUCAACUUAGGCACAGGGACACUUGCUGCCAUUCCUUCUCCUGCUUUUGGUCAGGGACCUUUG
rnacentral:lncRNA from 1 species